rnacentral:tRNA from 1 species
GCCCGCCUAGCUCAAUCGGAUAGAGCGUCAGACUCUUAUGUGCUGACAUGGUGCGGAACAUCUGAAGGCUGCGAGUUCGACCCUCGCGGUGGGCU